rnacentral:rRNA from 1 species
UGGGGAAUAUUGCACAAUGGGCGCAAGCCUGAUGCAGCGACGCCGCGUGAGGGAUGACGGCCUUCGGGUUGUAAACCUCUGUUAGCAGGGAAGGAGAGAGAUUGACGGUACCUGCAGAGAAAGCGCCGGCUAACUACGUGCCAGCAGCCGCGGUAAUACGUAGGGCGCGAGCGUUGUCCGGAAUUAUUGGGCGUAAAGAGCUUGUAGGCGGUUUGUCGCGUCUGCUGUGAAAGGCCGGAGCUUAACUCCGUGUAUUGCAGUGGGUACGGGCAGACUAGAGUGCAGUAGGGGAGACUGGAAUUCCUGGUGUAGCGGUGGAAUGCGCAGAUAUCAGGAGGAACACCGAUGGCGAAGGCAGGUCUCUGGGCUGUAACUGACGCUGAGAAGCGAAAGCAUGGGGAGCGAACAGGAUUAGAUACCCUGGUAGUCCAUGCCGUAAACGUUGGGCACUAGGUGUGGGGAACAUUCCACGUUUUCCGCGCCGUAGCUAACGCAUUAAGUGCCCCGCCUGGGGAGUACGGCCGCAAGGCUA